rnacentral:rRNA from 1 species
UUAAGUGACUAAGCGUACAAGGUGGAUGCCUUGGCAAUCAGAGGCGAGGAAGGACGUGCUAAUCUGCGAAAAGCUUGGAUGAGUCGAUAAGAGGCGUUUAAUCCAAGAUGUCCGAAUGGGGAAACCCAGUAGAUGAAGAAUCUACUAUCACUUACUGAAUCCAUAGGUAAGUGAGGCAAACCGGGAGAACUGAAACAUCUAAGUACCCCGAGGAAAAGAAAUCAACCGAGAUUUCGUUAGUAGCGGCGAGCGAACGCGAAGGAGCCUGUUAGUGAUAAUGACAGAGACAGAGGAACAAGCUGGGAAGCUUGGCGAUACAGGGUGAUAGCCCCGUACUCGAAGUCCAGGUCAUGGUACUAAGCUAACGACAAGUAGGGCGGGACACGUGAUAUCCUGUUUGAAGAUGGGGGGACCAUCCUCCAAGGCUAAAUACUCCUGAUUGACCGAUAGUGAACCAGUACUGUGAAGGAAAGGCGAAAAGAACCCCGGUGAGGGGAGUGAAAUAGAACCUGAAACCUUGUACGUACAAGCAGUGGGAGCCCUUUAAGGGUGACUGCGUACCUUUUGUAUAAUGGGUCAGCGACUUAUAUUUUGUAGCGAGGUUAACCGAAUAGGGGAGCCGAAGGGAAACCGAGUCUUAACUGGGCGUCUAGUUGCAAGGUAUAGACCCGAAACCCGGUGAUCUAGCCAUGGGCAGGUUGAAGGUUGGGUAACACUAACUGGAGGACCGAACCGACUAAUGUUGAAAAAUUAGCGGAUGACUUGUGGCUGGGGGUGAAAGGCCAAUCAAACCGGGAGAUAGCUGGUUCUCCCCGAAAUCUAUUUAGGUAGAGCCUUGAGCGGACACCUUCGGGGGUAGAGCACUGUUUCGGCUAGGGGUCCAUCCCGGAUUACCAACCCGAUGCAAACUACGAAUACCGAAGAGUGAUACUCAGGAGACACACGGCGGGUGCUAACGUCCGUCGUGGAGAGGGAAACAACCCAGACCGCCAGCUAAGGUCCCAAAGUCUAUAUUAAGUGGGAAACGAAGUGGGAAGGCUUAGACAGCUAGGAUGUUGGCUUAGAAGCAGCCAUCAUUUAAAGAAAGCGUAAUAGCUCACUAGUCGAGUCGGCCUGCGCGGAAGAUGUAACGGGGCUCAAAUAUAGCACCGAAGCUGCGGCAUCAGACGAAAGUCUGUUGGGUAGGGGAGCGUUCUGUAAGCGGAUGAAGGUGGCUCGAGAGGGUUGCUGGACGUAUCAGAAGUGCGAAUGCUGACAUAAGUAACGAUAAAACGGGUGAAAAACCCGUUCGCCGGAAGACCAAGGGUUCCUGUCCAACGUUAAUCGGGGCAGGGUGAGUCGGCCCCUAAGGCGAGGCUGAAAAGCGUAGUCGAUGGGAAACGGGUUAAUAUUCCCGUACUUGGAUAAACUGCGAUGUGGGGACGGAGCAGGUUAGGUUAUCGCACUGUUGGAUAUGUGCGUUUAAGUUGGUAGGUGAGAAGUUUAGGCAAAUCCGGACUUCUUUAACACUGAGAGAUGAUGACGAGGCUCUACGGAGCUGAAGUAACCGAUACCACACUUCCAGGAAAAGCCACUAAGCUUCAGGUUUAUCUAAACCGUACUGAAAACCGACACAGGUGGUCAGGUAGAGAAUACUCAGGCGCUUGAGAGAACUCGGGUGAAGGAACUAGGCAAAAUAGCACCGUAACUUCGGGAGAAGGUGCGCCGGCGUAGAUUGUAGUCCCUUGCGGGCGAAGGUUGAACCGGUCGAAGAUACCAGCUGGCUGCAACUGUUUAUUAAAAACACAGCACUCUGCAAACACGAAAGUGGACGUAUAGGGUGUGAUGCCUGCCCGGUGCUGGAAGGUUAAUUGAUGGUGUAAUCGAAAGAGAAGCUCCUGAUCGAAGCCCCAGUAAACGGCGGCCGUAACUAUAACGGUCCUAAGGUAGCGAAAUUCCUUGUCGGGU